GACGAACGCUGGCGGCGUGCCUAAUACAUGCAAGUAGAACGCUGAAGGAGGAGCUUGCUUCUCUGGAUGAGUUGCGAACGGGUGAGUAACGCGUAGGUAACCUGCCUGGUAGCGGGGGAUAACUAUUGGAAACGAUAGCUAAUACCGCAUAAUAGCAGUUAUUGCAUGAUAACUGUUUGAAAGGUGCAAUUGCACCACUACCAGAUGGACCUGCGUUGUAUUAGCUAGUUGGUGGGGUAACGGCUCACCAAGGCGACGAUACAUAGCCGACCUGAGAGGGUGAUCGGCCACACUGGGACUGAGACACGGCCCAGACUCCUACGGGAGGCAGCAGUAGGGAAUCUUCGGCAAUGGACGGAAGUCUGACCGAGCAACGCCGCGUGAGUGAAGAAGGUUUUCGGAUCGUAAAGCUCUGUUGUAAGAGAAGAACGAGUGUGAGAGUGGAAAGUUCACACUGUGACGGUACCUUACCAGAAAGGGACGGCUAACUGCGUG
rnacentral:rRNA from 1 species